ACUACAUGUCAUGGUUUGAGCCAUCACAAUGACAAACAUGAUCGUCUGAUAGAAGAACAUGUUCAGGGCACUUAAAGGGACUUGAAGGGAUUCACUUUCCUCGUCACUGGAGCAAACUGAAACACAUUACUUCAAGUACAGUUCAGCUCCCAAGGAAAUUACAUGAUUCAGCACUCAGACUUUGUUAGCGACCCAGUCUGUUUGAGCAGAGCUUUGCAAGGGUGAGAGAAAGAGAGCAAGAGAGCAGAGUGCUGGUGUCUUUAGGAAGCUCAGGAUGGGGAGGAUGUUUCAGACGUCAGAGCUACAGCAGACACCUGUCAUCUAUUGGACACUGUGUUCUUCCUCAGCAGCUUUGAAGCUUAUCUUUUGAAGUUCAGCCUUGAGCCUGUACGUUUCCAGCAAACAAGACUGCAGUGCAUUCUUCCGUUCUCCUUCCACCGCUCCUCUGCAUUGUUGCAAAACAUCUAGAGAGAUUAUGUAAAGUCUCUCUCAGGUCACAAGGACACAAGGCCACAUACAGCAUUGAAGUGAAUGUUAAGCUGCUACCACACUAUGAAGUGAACUCUACAGGCAGUCCAUACUACUCCAGGGAGACC
ensembl:lncRNA